rnacentral:rRNA from 1 species
UACAGAGGGGGCAAGCGUUGUUCGGAAUUACUGGGCGUAAAGGGCGCGUAGGUGGCCUUCUAAGUUGAACGUGAAAUCCCUGGGCUCAACCCAGGAACUGCGUCCAAGACUGGGAGGCUUGAAUCCGGGAGAGGGAUGCGGAAUUCCAGGUGUAGCGGUGAAAUGCGUAGAUAUCUGGAGGAACACCGGCGGCGAAGGCGGCAUCCUGGACCGGCAUUGACGCUGAGGCGCGAAAGCCAGGGGAGCAAACGGG